GGCUGCUCGGAGGCCGUUGAUCUGAUGACCAGCUGUAUCAUUACUGCUGUAGCAAUCCUCAUAAUGCUGCUGUUCCUCCUCCUAUGCUACCACAGGAAUAAGUGGAAGGGGAAGAUGGUGAAAAAACAGCGUGCCAGCUGGAGCGCACAAGUCACGGCCACCUUGCAGGUGGUGGAAGAACCCCAAGGACAGAAGCAGGAAGAGGGAAGUAAAGAGUGGUCCCUCAGCCAGCCGGGGAGCUGCACCCACACGCCGCAGGCAGCCAGGGAAGAGCCCUGAGGAGCUGGGAAGCUGCCGUUGGCCAAAGCAAGGCAUCCAUAAACUCUGCCUCUACCUUAGGACGAUGGUUUUUGGGAAAAAUCUUGCCAAAAUGUUGCCACGCAGAUGUCCAAGCAAUAGCUCCAGGUGACAAAUGACACUCCCCCCACCCCACUUUCCCUGCCCUCUAUUCAUAAAACCCAGGCUGAGAGACAAUACCAGCCAUUGCUCUUGCUGAUGCUGAUCCAGUUGUCCCAGCUGGAAUGUACUGAUACUAUUAAUUAGCGUAGACAACUGGAGAAGAGCAGACUAAUUCCCAGCUUUAGCUGCUAGCCUGGCCAGUGUUUGUUCCAGUAAAAAAGAUACGCAUCCUGUGCUGCCCAAGCACUGCCAAGGUCUGCUGCUGCCAGAGCUGCCCUGCCCGGGCUUUUGCUUCCGAAGCUUUAAGCUGACCGCAUCUUGCUGUCUGUAGAGCUCUGCCGGACUCUGCCCAUGCGAGGAUUUCAGGGUCACCACCCAUGUGAGGUGCCGCCUUCUGCGCCGCUUCCUCCUCCUGCCUCUGUAAGUCCCUUUUUAAGGUGCAGCGAGUCAGGCUGGUGGUUCUCAGGGGUGGCAGCUCCGCUCAGCUCUGCGAUCGCACCUUCCCCUCCAGCUUGCCUUCCCUCGAUUUUGCAAGGCAAACGUCCCCAUGUCACACCAAAUCCUCAGAAAACUCAGCCCAAGCCCUUGUCCGUCUGUCCUACGCCUGCUCCUGUCCUUCCUUGGCUGCUGCCAGCUCCUCCGGGCACACCUGUGACCCUGUGCUCCCCACCUUGGAAAAGCUGCCUUGCCUUUGGGAGGGAGGACCAGGAAAGGCAGCUCCAUCAGCAUCCCUAAGGACCUUCAGGGUGGGAUUUUUUUUUAAUGUAUUUUAAAGCAUCACAGAAUCACAGAAUCACUAAGGUUGGAAAAGACCUGUAAGAUCAUCAAGUCCAACCAAUAAAAAAAAAAAAACCCCAAAAAAAACCCCACAACACACAACAACAACAAGCCACAACACACCAAAAACCAACCCACCCAACACCAUGCAGCUCCAUGCCCAUCAAGCUACAUCCCACAAUGCCACAUCCACACGCUCCUUGAAUACCUCCAGGGAGGGUGACUCCACCACCUCCCUGGGCAGCCUAUUCCAAUGUUUCACUACUCUCUCAGUAAAGAACUUUUUCCUAAUAUCCAGCCUGAACCUCCCCUGGCGCAACUUGAGGCCAUUUCCUCUUGUCCUGUCACUAGUCACUUGGGAGAAGAGACCAACACCCACCUCACCACAACCCCCUUUCAGGCAGUUGUAGAGAGCGAUGAGGUCUCCCCUCAGCCUCCUCUUCUCCAGACUGAACAACCCCAGUUCCCUCAGCCGCUCCUCAUCAGGCUGUGCUCCAGACCCCUCACCAGCUCCGUCGCCCUUCUUUGGACGCGCUCCAGCACCUCGAUGUCUUUCUUGUAGUGAGGGGCCCAGAACUAGAUUGGCCUGAGCUGAUUUCCCUUCCAUGGGACUCUUAACCGACCUUGCAUUCAUGCCAUGGCCUUCAGCAGUUUCCUUUGCAGGUUGUAGCAUUUUAGGUGAAGUUGGAGUAAGUUCUACCUGGUCCUGGUUUUUUGUCCCCCUUGGACAGGGUGUCAGCUCUAAAACAUGUCCAUCCAUAAAAAAAAAAAAGAAAAAAACCCCUUAUGUUGCUUUUUCCUUCACUUUGUUAUAACAGCUCUAAUAAAUGUAUUUCACA